rnacentral:lncRNA from 1 species
AUGGCAAACAGACAAACAAGCAAAAAAAUAGAGGAGAUGUCAGAUGAUGUCGAAAAUGUCAUCCACUGUUGUGGAAGUGGCAGAAAGGAGCUUGAGUUCUACCUUCAGAGGAUGGAGCUGCCAGUACAACAUAUGUAUGCAUCCAGAAAUCUCAAAAUCAGCGAAAGGUUUCUUCCACUCAGUAAUGAUUUCUGGAAUGCUGAAAUAAUGAUGCCAAGGGCUUUAGAUGGCGGACAUAGUUCUCAGAUAAAUUAUACAUUUGUACCUGGGGAGCAGAAAUUAGGACUGUGUUGUAUUUAUUACUGA